CCGCGCUGAGCUCACACACGCUGCAUUCAGUUCAAAGGUCGUGCACACAUGUGCGGAGUACGAAUGACUGAUCAUCAUUCAUGUUUUUGACCCUGAUGUGAAACUUGAAAAUGAGCAGACGAGCAGGAGUUGAUCAAUUGACAUCCAGAGGAAUCCUCAGUAUCGCAGCAUGACCUGAAGAGACAACAAGAAGAUUUUUUGAGUGCAGUACAUUUCUGUUUCUCUACAGACACACAGGUGCGGGAGGAAACAAAGCUGGUGACGCCCUGAACGUACCACUUACCAUCCUGACCCAAACAGUUCAGAGGACCUCCAGAGUCUCCCUGAAAGAGAGAGACAUUAACAUACUGUAGUAUAAAGUAGCCUAUUGUG